GGAUGUGAGGGUGAGCUGGUUGUGACAUCUGUCACCCCAUUGAUGGCCAGGGUUGAUUCAGCUGAUCUGGCUGGCUAGGCAGUUGUCCCCUUCCUCCCUCACUGCUCCAUAUGCAUCCCCCCCCCCGAAGCUGCACGCUCGGUCAAAGAGGACGACCCUCCCCGCUACAGGAGGACUGUUCUUCAGUCAAGGGUAUACGAGUAGCUGCACUUCCCUGCUAGAACCCCCAAACAAGCUCUCAAGAAAGAGGGAGAUCCUGUAUACAGUUCAGCCAGUUUUCCCCAUGCAUAAACAAUAUUGCAACCAUGAAAUUGGCACUAAU
rnacentral:snRNA from 1 species